UACGGGGGGAGCAAGCGUUGUUCGGAUUUACUGGGCGUAAAGGGCGCGUAGGCGGCCACUGCAAGUCGGUUGUGAAAUCUCCGGGCUUAACCCGGAAAGGUCAAUCGAUACUGCGGGGCUAGAGUGCGGAAGGGGCAACUGGAAUUCUCGGUGUAGCGGUGAAAUGCGUAGAUAUCGAGAGGAACACCUGCGGCGAAGGCGGGUUGCUGGGCCGACACUGACGCUGAUGCGCGAAAGCCAGGGGAGCGAACGGG
rnacentral:rRNA from 1 species